UUAGCCAUUCUUCCGGCGUUCGAAUUGAAAGAAGCAGAGAAGAACGAGGAGCGUCUGCGAUUUCCGCAACGGUCACAUUAGCCUUCUUCUCCUCCGUUUGAUCUUCCUCUUCUCCUUCUUACAUAAACUGAUAUAGUCUAGCACUGCGCAGGGAAAGAGAAGCAGCAAGACUUAAAACUGCAAUCAGAGGGCCAUUGCUCGCCAAAUGGCUAAGGAAUCAACGGAACUUUCUGAGGAGGAUGAACGCCUGGAACUCAUGGAGUUCGCUCUGUCCAGCAAGGGAUUACCGUCAACAAAGUCUCUUGAUCACGAAACUUCACAAAAUCUGGAGUUAUUUAGAAGUCAUGGGAUACAAUUCCAAUAUCAUUCACUGUUGGCUGUGAUUUGUUCAUUCGGUAUUUAACUAGAACAUCGGCUUUAGAAAAUGAGGAUUUCAAGUCUGCUAAGUCUCACCUGAUUGAACGUGCAGAAAAGUUCGGAGAGAUGUAUGGUAAGGCACGGAGAAUUAUUGCAAUGCUCAGCCAAUACUUCAUUUUUUAUGGUCGUUAUGGAAGUUCUGAGGUAAGGUGAAGUACACGUUGUUGUUCUAGAACAUAACCUCCUUUACAGGCACGGAGAAUUAUUGGCCAUCUGCGAAUAAUUGAAGGGGCAUAUGCAUCGGGUUUUGACAUAUGCAGCUGACAGCAACAAUUAAAUCCUUUAACAUGGCCUGAGAUACUUAGACAGUUGGCCUUAUCAGGAGGGUUUGGUCCGAAACAGGGGAAAGGGGGGAAUGCUGAACCAACAUAUCAUCAUGUUGAAAAUGAGGUGAAAUCCUUUUGCCCGGCU